rnacentral:tRNA from 1 species
GUUAGUGUGGCAUAGUAGAUAGUGUGCUGAACUUGGAGUUAGGAAGACUUGGGUUCAAAUCCCACCUCAGAUA